CCGAAAACAUGCUGAUGGUUGUUUCCUCCCCGUUUGUUUAUAAAACCACAUCUGUGUAAUCAAAAUGUAUUAUAGAAUCAAUUAUAGAAUCAAAAUGGCCACUCCACAGAAGUCUGCUGUCAGAUUUGUGUUCAUAAUGCUUUUCAUUAUGAUUGCAUCAGAUGUAUGCAUGAAAUCGGAGGCAAGAAACGUUGUGAGUCUACGUUGCAGCAAUGAAGAGAAUUGUGAAUUGCUUUGUCCAGAUUGUAAUUGUAAAUGUAUUGACACUUGGUGUUUUUGCCCUGGAGUCCCUCUUCCUUUUACCAACAAUAACUUCACUCCAACCCCUUGAAUUCGAGUAUUUGCAACACUUGACUUCAAUAACAAAAUAUUAUGUAUUAGUAUUGCCUCUCAGUAGUAUGUCUGCAAAUUAAUAAUAUAUGAAAUUUUAACUUCA